ACGGAAGGCAGCAGUGGGGAAUAUUGGGCAAUGGCCGAAAGGCUGACCCAGCGACGCCGCGUGCGGGAGGAAGCCCUUCGGGGUGUAAACCGCUGUCAGGGGGGACGAAUGACUCUCUGGGGAAUACUCAGAGGGAGUGACGGUACCCCCAAAGGAAGCACCGGCUAACUCUGUGCCAGCAGCCGCGGUAAUACAGAGGGUGCAAGCGUUGUUCGGAAUCACUGGGCGUAAAGCGCGCGCAGGCGGAUGGUUGCGUCCGGAGUGAAAUUUCGCCGCUCAACGGCGAAGCUGCUUUGGAUACGGACCGUCUAGGGACCGGUAGAGGCUGGUAGAAUUGCAGGUGUAGCGGUGGAAUGCGUAGAGAUCUGCAAGAAUACCCGUGGCGAAGGCGGCCAGCUGGGCCGGAUCCGACGCUGAGGCGCGAAAGCGUGGGGAGCAAACAGGAUUAGAUACCCUGGUA
rnacentral:rRNA from 1 species